AGACUGACAGCUCAAAGGUAGAAAUCAGUUUCCUAAUAGACAAACUAAAGCUCAUGUGUCUGAUAAGGGCAAACACAGCUCAGGGCAGAGCUGGGCUCUCACCUGCCCAUCCCCUCCCUGCUGGGUGCCCAAGGCCUUUUUGGAGUUUUGAGUGUCACCAACACAGGGGUGGGGAUGUGGCCCCAAAGCCCUGUCCCAAAGCAGGCUCAGCUCCCAGGCUUACCAGAGCCAGGGCUGCAAAUCCACCUUUGCAGACUCCCAACACAUGAAAUUACCAUAACCAGGACAUUUCAUGCUCCUCUCCCAUCAAGCUGUUUAGAGCAAAUUAAAUUUCUCCCUAACCAGGCUGUAACAGUUCAUGUUAGAUGUGGAUCUAAAUGUUAAUUGCAGUGACAAUAACAGGUCUGAUCCUGCCAUCCUUAUUUGAGUAAAACCUCCCACAGAAGCCAAAGGAAUUUUGCCCCGGAGAAGGCAGCUGGAUGCAGUCCCACAUUUCCAGUCUCUUGAAGAUGCCAGAAGCUCAUCACCCAGGCUGGAGCCUGGCUGCCACAGAAGCCGGCAAAGAAAGCAUUAAGGGAUGGAAGGUGAAACUCAGCACACGAGCUGUGAGAUUUACAGAGCAUCCCCCAUCCUGCCCGUGGCACAGCAGCCAAACCCUCCCUGAUGGGAGCCCAGGAACCCAGGCAGUGCCAGGGCAGCAGCUGGAGCUCACCCCAGCCUGCUCAGCGUGGCACAGACACCUCCUGAGCCACACCAGGGCUUUUGAGGAUGUGACUCAGUGGCUCAGAGACAGCUCCUCUGCUGGCCUUCCCCUGGUCCCUGCAUACAAAACACUUUGCAAAUGAAGUGUGAAGAUAAUAUGCUUUAUCAUGGGCAUUUAUUACCCGUGAUUGUGGUAUAAAUCUCCCUCCAUUCACAUACAUAUACAUAAGGUGUAUAUAAAUAUGCAGCAUCCAGCAGGA